rnacentral:rRNA from 1 species
CGUGCCUAAUACAUGCAAGUCGAACGCUAAUUGUGGUUGAAAUGAUAUGAAGAACUUGUUCAGAUUUGAUUUUCAACAUUGCAAUGAGUGGCGAACGGGUGAGUAACACGUGGGAAACCUACCUCUUAGCAGGGGAUAACAUUUGGAAACAAAUGCUAAUACCGUAUAAUAAUUAAAACCGCAUGGUUUUAGUUUAAAAGAUGGUCUUGCUAUCACUAAGAGAUGGUCCCGCGGUGUAUUAGUUAGUUGGUGAGGUAAUGGCUCACCAAGACAAUGAUACAUAGCCGAGUUGAGAGACUGACCGGCCACAAUGGGACUGAGACACGGCCCAUACUCCUACGGGAGGCAGCAGUAGGGAAUCUUCCACAAUGGACGAAAGUCUGAUGGAGCAACGCCGCGUGUGUGAUGAAGGGUUUCGGCUCGUAAAACACUGUUGUAAGAGAAGAAUGACAUUGAGAGUAACUGUUCAAUGUGUGACGGUAUCUUACCAGAAAGGAACGGCUAAAUACGUG